rnacentral:rRNA from 1 species
UCGAGCGAGCGGAACUAAAGAUUUACUUCGGUAAUGACGUUAGGAAAGCGAGCGGCGGAUGGGUGAGUAACACGUGGGGAACCUGCCCCAUAGUCUGGGAUACCACUUGGAAACAGGUGCUAAUACCGGAUAAGAAAGCAGAUCGCAUGAUCAGCUUUUAAAAGGCGGCGUAAGCUGUCGCUAUGGGAUGGCCCCGCGGUGCAUUAGCUAGUUGGUAAGGUAAAGGCUUACCAAGGCGAUGAUGCAUAGCCGAGUUGAGAGACUGAUCGGCCACAUUGGGACUGAGACACGGCCCAAACUCCUACGGGAGGCAGCAGUAGGGAAUCUUCCACAAUGGACGCAAGUCUGAUGGAGCAACGCCGCGUGAGUGAAGAAGGUUUUCGGAUCGUAAAGCUCUGUUGUUGGUGAAGAAGGAUAGAGGUAGUAACUGGCCUUUAUUUGACGGUAAUCAACCAGAAAGUCACGGCUAACUACGUGCCAGCAGCCGCGGUAAUACGUAGGUGGCAAGCGUUGUCCGGAUUUAUUGGGCGUAAAGCGAGCGCAGGCGGAAGAAUAAGUCUGAUGUGAAAGCCCUCGGCUUAACCGAGGAACUGCAUCGGAAACUGUUUUUCUUGAGUGCAGAAGAGGAGAGUGGAACUCCAUGUGUAGCGGUGGAAUGCGUAGAUAUAUGGAAGAACACCAGUGGCGAAGGCGGCUCUCUGGUCUGCAACUGACGCUGAGGCUCGAAAGCAUGGGUAGUGAACAGGAUUAGAUACCCUGGUAGUCCAUGCCGUAAACGAUGAGUGCUAAGUGUUGGGAGGUUUCCGCCUCUCAGUGUUGCAGCUAACGCA